rnacentral:tRNA from 1 species
GCAGUUCUGGCGGAGUGGUUAAAGCGAUGGACUAGAAAUCCAUUGGGGUCUCCCCGCACAGGUUCGAAUCCUGUCGACUGCG